rnacentral:rRNA from 1 species
CCUACGGGUGGCAGCAGUGAGGAAUAUUGGUCAAUGGGCGCGAGCCUGAACCAGCCACGUAGCGUGAAGGAUGACUGCCCUACGGGUUGUAAACUUCUUUUAUAAAGGAAUAAAGUGAGGCAAGUGUUCCUUUUUGUAUGUAUUUUAUGAAUAAGGAUCGGCUAACUCCGUUCCAGCAGCCGCGGUAAUACGGAGGAUCCGAUCGUUAUCCGGAUUUAUUGUGUUUACAGUGAGCGUAGAUGGGUUGUUAAGUCAGUUGUGAAAGUUUGCGGCUCAACCGUAAAAUUGCAAUUGAUACUGGCAGCCUUGAGUACAGUUGAGGUAGGCGGAAUUCGUGGUGUAGCGGUGAAAUGCUUAGAUAUCACGAAGAACUCCGAUUGCGAAGGCAGCCUACUAAACUGCCACUGACAUUGAUGCUCGAAAGUGUGGGUAUCAAACAGGAUUAGAUACCCGGGUAGUC